rnacentral:lncRNA from 1 species
AGUGAAAGAAUGCAUUUUUAAAUAGUGAUUGAUAGAGAAUGUGUGGUUAAAAAGUAAGAAAAAAUUGGAUUUGCGUGUAAUAUUAUUUUAUUGAAGAAUAUGUGGUUGAAAAUGAGUUUUGAGAAAAUGAAUUUUUGGAAGAAUGGGAAUCAAACAAGGGCUAUAUGGGGUAGUGCAUAUUUAAAGAUUGGUUUUGAGAUCUUGGAUUUUCGCUCAUGCUCAAGCAAUGUAGAUGAUUUGUAUCCUAUAAUCAAUGGUUGCUUGAUCUGAUAUUCAGGAUCAAUAGUACACUGAGAUUUGGCGGAACUAGUCUUGCAUAGAUGACUACAAGCCGCAUGGUGCCCAUUUCUCAGCCUUAUGAAAAGCACUGUGUCAUGCCCGCAUGCAUUACAGUCAAACAAUCAGUGAGACAGGUUUGGUAGAAUGGUAUUUCAAAGUAUCCUACACCUACCCAUGGAAGUAUGGCUAGAGGGCAACAAUCCUCAAGCCACGUAUAACAUUACUCUAGAUAUUGCACUGCUACCCUCUAGGAGGUGUGGCUUAUAACAGUUUAACCAAUGCAGUACAGACUGUUCUGUCACAAUGAAUUUCCAGCUAAGGGCAGUGAAUACGAAGUCAAAAGAUAUCUUCCUCAUAAUUUGCUAAAUGGAAACUGCUAAAUUAGCGGAAUCAUGGGACAAGCUUCAUAAAUACGAAAUAGGAAAGGGCCCAAACACAAAAAUGCUGAUGGUAGCAUUCCCAAAUGACAAGUUUAACAACAAAAACCAUGCAAUAUUGUGAAUGCAUAGAGCCCUUAUCCAAGUUUGUGGCUCUCAAAUUCUUCUCAACCUCCCCCAAUCUCCACCAUUCUUUCCUAGACAAAACCCAAAAAACAACAAAGAUACAAGGGGCAUUGAUUUCAUAGUUUUUUAGUAGCUGGCCUUAUCCAUUAGCAAAAGUAAUGAUUGGCUGAUUUUAACUGAUUAUCAGAAGUAGCCUUAAUCCCCUUUUACUUCAAAGGUAUUAAAGGUAAAUAAUGAUUUUAUUUUAUUUCAUCAUCUGAAAUAAAAAAUGUUUCUUAUUAUAAUAUCAUUCCACAGCUUUCUUGCUGAAGU